UACGUAGGGGGCAAGCGUUGUCCGGAUUUAUUGGGCGUAAAGAGCGUGUAGGCGGCCUGAAAGGUCAGCUGUGAAAACUCGGGGCUCAACCCCGAGACGUCGGUUGAAACCAUCUGGCUAGAGUCCGGAAGAGGAGUGUGGAAUUCCCGGUGUAGCGGUGAAAUGCGCAGAUAUCGGGAAGAACACCCGUGGCGAAGGCGGCCGGCUGGGGGCGCCCUGACGCUGAGGCGCGAGAGCGUGGGGAGCAAACCGG
rnacentral:rRNA from 1 species